AUUGAACGCUGGCGGCAUGCCUUACACAUGCAAGUCGAACGGUAACGGGUCUUCGGAUGCUGACGAGUGGCGAACGGGUGAGUAAUACAUCGGAACGUGCCUAGUAGUGGGGGAUAACUACUCGAAAGAGUGGCUAAUACCGCAUGAGAUCUACGGAUGAAAGCAGGGGAUCGCAAGACCUUGUGCUACUAGAGCGGCCGAUGGCAGAUUAGGUAGUUGGUGGGAUAAAAGCUUACCAAGCCGAAGAUCUGUAUCUGGUCUGAGAGGACGAUCAGCAACACUGGGACUGAGACACGGCCCAGACUCCUACGGGAGGCAGCAGUGGGGAAUUUUGGAUAAUGGGCGAAAGCCUGAUCCAGCAAUGCCGCGUGCAGGAUGAAGGCCUUCGGGUUGUAAACUGCUUUUGUACGGAACGAAAAGCCCCGGGUUAAUACCCUGGGGUCAUGACGGUACCGUAAGAAUAAGCACCGGCUAACUACGUGCCAGCAGCCGCCGUAA
rnacentral:rRNA from 1 species